rnacentral:rRNA from 1 species
AGAGUUUGAUCCUGGCUCAGAACGAACGCUGGCGGCGUGCUUAACACAUGCAAGUCGAGUGCGCGUGCCGUAGCAAUACGGUAUGGCGCACGGCGCACGGGUGCGUAACACGUGGGCAAUCUGCCCUCCGAUGGGGAAUAACUCCGGGAAACCGAAGCUAAUUCCGCAUAACAUUCCCUGGACUCCGGUUUGGGGAUUCAAAGCAGCAAUGCGUCGGAGGAGGAGCCCGCGCCCGAUUAGCUAGUUGGUGAGGUAACGGCUCACCAAGGCUUUGAUCGGUAGCUGGUCUGAGAGGAUGGCCAGCCACACUGGAACUGAGACACGGUCCAGACUCCUACGGGAGGCAGCAGUGGGGAAUCUUGCGCAAUGGGCGAAAGCCUGACGCAGCGACGCCGCGUGGGGGAUGAAGCUUCUCGGAGUGUAAACCCCUUUCGACUGGGACGAAUGCCUCGCAAGAGGAGUGACGGUACCAGUAGAAGAAGCCCCGGCUAACUACGUGCCAGCAGCCGCGGUAAGACGUAGGGGGCCAGCGUUGUUCGGAAUUACUGGGUGUAAAGGGUUCGUAGGCGGUGUGGCAAGUCGGGAGUGAAAUCUCUGGGCUUAACCCAGAGACUGCUUCCGAAACUGCUGUGCUGGAGUGUGGGAGAGGCGCGUGGAAUUGCAGGUGUAGCGGUGAAAUGCGUAGAUAUCUGCAGGAACACCCGUGGCGAAAGCGGCGCGCUGGACCACUACUGACGCUGAGGAACGAAAGCUAGGGGAGCAAACAGGAUUAGAUACCCUGGUAGUCCUAGCCCUAAACGAUCAGGACUUGGGGUGCCACCCGUUCGGGUGUCGUCCCGGAGCUAACGCGUUAAGUCCUGCACCUGGGGAGUACGGUCGCAAGACUGAAACUCAAAGGAAUUGACGGGGGCCCGCACAAGCGGUGGAACAUGUGGUUCAAUUCGACGCUACGCGAGGAACCUUACCUGGGCUCGAAAUGCUUCUGACCAGCUGUAGAAAUACGGCCUUCCCGCAAGGGACAGGAGUAUAGGCGCUGCAUGGCUGUCGUCAGCUUCGUG